rnacentral:rRNA from 1 species
UUCCUACGGGAGGCAGCAGUAGGAAAUCUUCCGCAAUGGACGAAAGUCUGACGGAGCAACGCCGCGUGAGUGAUGAAGGUUUUCGGAUCGUAAAGCUCUGUUGUUAGGGAAGAACAAGUACCGUUCGAAUAGGGCGGUACCUUGACGGUACCUAACCAGAAAGCCACGGCUAACUACGUGCCAGCAGCCGCGGUAAUACGUAGGUGGCAAGCGUUGUCCGGAAUUAUUGGGCGUAAAGGGCUCGCAGGCGGUUUCUUAAGUCUGAUGUGAAAGCCCCCGGCUCAACCGGGGAGGGUCAUUGGAAACUGGGGAACUUGAGUGCAGAAGAGGAGAGUGGAAUUCCACGUGUAGCGGUGAAAUGCGUAGAGAUGUGGAGGAACACCAGUGGCGAAGGCGACUCUCUGGUCUGUAACUGACGCUGAGGAGCGAAAGCGUGGGGAGCGAACAGGAUUAGAUACCCUGGUAGUCC